rnacentral:rRNA from 1 species
UACGGGGGAGCAAGCGUUGUUCGGAUUUACUGGGCGUAAAGGGCGCGUAGGCGGCCUCUGCAAGUCGACUGUGAAAUCUCCGGGCUUAACCCGGAAAGGUCAGCCGAUACUGCAGGGCUAGAGUGCAGAAGGGGCAACUGGAAUUCUCGGUGUAGCGGUGAAAUGCGUAGAUAUCGAGAGGAACACCUGCGGCGAAGGCGGGUUGCUGGCUGACACUGACGCUGAAGCGCGAAAGCUAGGGGAGCGAACGGG